UGGUGACCAGCGGAGGGAUCAUUACCGGGUUUACAACUCCCAAACCCAUUGAGAACCUUACCUUUGUUGCUUCGGCGGGACUGCCCCGGUGCCUUGCUGCCCGGAUCCAGGCGCCCGCCGGAGACCCCAAACUCUUGUUUUACUAUGAGAAUUUCUGAUUGGCAUAUACAAAUAAAUAAAAACUUUCAACAACGGAUCUCUUGGUUCUGGCAUCGAUGAAGAACGCAGCGAAAUGCGAUAAGUAAUGUGAAUUGCAGAAUUCAGUGAAUCAUCGAAUCUUUGAACGCACAUUGCGCCCGCUAGUAUUCUGGCGGGCAUGCCUGUUCGAGCGUCAUUUCAACCCUCGAGCCCCUCUGGGCUUGGUGUUGGGGUGCGGCCUCCCGCCCUUAGGGCGCGGCCGGCCCUGAAAAUCAGUGGCGGUCUCGCUGCAGCCUCCCUUGCGUAGUAGCACACCUCGCACUGGAGCGCGGCGCGGCCACGCCGUCAAAACGUAGCCCUAGGGCACAAUUUUAUAAGGUUGACCUCGGAUCAGGUAGGGAUACCCGCUGAACUUAAGCAUAUCAAUAAGCGGAGGAAAAGAAACCAACAGGGAUUGCUCUAGUAACGGCGAGUGAAGCGGCAACAGCUCAAAUUUGAAAUCUGGCUCUUGGGUCUCGAAUUGUAAUUUGCAGAGGAUGCUUUUGGUGCGGUGCCUUUCUGAGUUCUCCCGGAACGGGACGCCAUAGAGGGUGAGAG
rnacentral:rRNA from 1 species